CAUGCUCCUGAGUGGAAGGGAGAGAUGAGUGCCGUGGAGUAAUCCCGUCUUUGAAUUGCACUCGCUGCCACUCUGAUCUGAAGAAGUAUCUGGAACUGUGUCACGGGAGCUGUUCUGUCCUGCGCUUCUUUGCAGCCAUGCCUGUGGGUGACAGUGAUCCAGCUUCCCGGCUGGGUUCCAGGACUGAGCCUCUGGGAGAUGGCAUGGUUACAGAAGUGCCCGUAGGGAGGACUUUUCCAGCUCCUCGGCUGGAUGCUGCGCUAGAGCCCAGCUGGCAUCGCAGGGGUCCUCCAAGAGCAAAGCCCCAAGCUGAAGGAGGAAAAAAGUCCCCAGAGGCAUCUGAAGUCCUGAGGCAGAUGCUGGA